GUGCUCACUUCAGCAGCACGUAUACUAAAACUGGAACAAUACAGAGAAGAUCAUGGCCCCUGCACAAGGAUGACAUGCAAAUUCGUGAAGCAUUCCAUAUUAUU
rnacentral:snRNA from 1 species